AGCUCAUCUGAGUGCAGUGGUGUUUACAACUAAUCCAUCACAACUGGUUACAGAUUCCUUUGUUCCUUCUCCACUCCCAGUGCUUCACUUGGCUAGCCUAAA
ensembl:misc_RNA Y_RNA Y RNA